CCUGAAGCUGGUUAGCCUUAUUGCACCAGACAGACCAAAGACACAGUGGAAGCAUGCUGGUGAAAGGAAUAACUGCGAUACAUCAAGUCAUCUUUAAGCCUUCCUCAUGAGACUAUUCUGAAGAAAAACUGUCGGCAAAAAUAAUGGCUCUCAUCACUCUUCUCCCACCAACCUUCUGAACAUCAGAGUCCCCAGAAAGGAAGGAGUACGAUAGGGGGAGUGCUGACGGGGGUAUUGCCAAACUUGGUUUUAACACUGAAAUCCUGCAACUUGGAGAGAAAGAAGUUCUGUGGAAAUGCAAUAGCAGAUAGUCAUAGUGAUGGAGUUGAUAUUCUGCUGUUUUGUCUUACAUCAAACUUUUCAUACUGAUUAUAGUUGCAUCCUCUUCGUUUUCGAUUUCCUUUUCAUAAUAAAUGCAUGUUUAUGUUUGCAUUUGGGAUGAGAUGUUUUCUUAUGAACGCAUUCAGUAAAUACUUUCCAGAGCAGUAGUUUGAACUGUUAAUCCAAUUAACGCUUACUUGUCAAAACAUUUGGCUAAUUAACUCUGUAUUCCUGCAUUAAUGAGACCAUAUAUAGCCAAUGU